CACGCCCUAAACGAUGUCAACUAGCUGUUGGGCCCUUCGGGGCUUAGUAGCGUAGCUAACGCGUGAAGUUGACCGCCUGGGGAGUACGGUCGCAAGAUUAAAACUCAAAGGAAUUGACGGGGACCCGCACAAGCGGUGGAUGAUGUGGAUUAAUUCGAUGCAACGCGAAAAACCUUACCUACCCUUGACAUGUCUGGAAUCCUUUAGAGAUAGAGGAGUGCUCGCAAGAGAACCGGAACACAGGUGC
rnacentral:rRNA from 2 species